UUCAGUAUACAUAUUAGCAAUAUAUGUUGUAUCCCUCAUCCACCCCCUGCCAUCACUAUAGUCAUUUCUUACUUGAGCAUUCUUCAGUUAGCUCUCAUCCCCAUGACCAAGUUCAGAAUCUUUGCCUUCAUGUUUUCUUGCUCGGAACGCCUUUUUGUUUGCGAAUCCAAUGAGGUGCCAAAGUAUCAUACCCUUUAUUAAGCCUGACUAGCACUAAGUAUAACGAAAUUAGUUGCAUUGUACAUUUCUCUCAGCAGCUGAUAUUCCCCAUUGAAUCUAUGGUCAGCUGAAAUUCCCUGACCUGCUUUGCAUGGAUUUCUAUCAAAACAAAUCUUUCCUAAACUAAUUGUG